GAUGAACGCUGGCGGCGUGCCUAAUACAUGCAAGUCGAGCGAACAGAUAAGGAGCUUGCUCCUUUGACGUUAGCGGCGGACGGGUGAGUAACACGUGGGUAACCUACCUAUAAGACUGGAAUAACUCCGGGAAACCGGGGCUAAUGCCGGAUAACAUUUAGAACCGCAUGGUUCUAAAGUGAAAGAUGGUUUUGCUAUCACUUAUAGAUGGACCCGCGCCGUAUUAGCUAGUUGGUAAGGUAACGGCUUACCAAGGCAACGAUACGUAGCCGACCUGAGAGGGUGAUCGGCCACACUGGAACUGAGACACGGUCCAGACUCCUACGGGAGGCAGCAGUAGGGAAUCUUCCCCAAUGGGCGAAAGCCUGACGGAGCAACGCCGCGUGAGUGAUGAAGGUCUUCGGAUCGUAAAACUCUGUUAUUAGGGAAGAACAAAUGUGUAAGUAACUGUGCACGUCUUGACGGUACCUAAUCAGAAAGCCACGGCUAACUACGUG
rnacentral:rRNA from 1 species